rnacentral:rRNA from 1 species
CCCUUAGAGUUUGAUCCUGGCUCAGGACGAACGCUGGCGGCGUGCCUAACACAUGCAAGUCGAGCGGGGAGAAGAAUUCGUUUUUCUCUUUAGCGGCGGACGGGUGAGUAACACGUGGGUAACCUGCCUCAAAGUGGGGGAUAGCCUUCCGAAAGGAAGAUUAAUACCGCAUAAUAUCAUGGCGCUGCAUGGCGCAGUGAUUAAAGGAGCAAUCCGCUUUGAGAUGGACCCGCGGCGCAUUAGCUAGUUGGUGAGGUAACGGCCCACCAAGGCGACGAUGCGUAGCCGACCUGAGAGGGUGAUCGGCCACAUUGGAACUGAGACACGGUCCAGACUCCUACGGGAGGCAGCAGUGGGGAAUAUUGCACAAUGGGGGAAACCCUGAUGCAGCAACGCCGCGUGAGUGAUGAAGGCCUUCGGGUCGUAAAGCUCUUUGAUCAGGGACGAUAAUGACGGUACCUGAAAAACAAGCCAGAAUAAUCAUU